GCUCGAAAAUGUUAAAGUUCUUAUUUCAUGGUAUAACUUUGGUAUGCUUGGACCUAGAGUCUUCAAACUUGACAUGAAGGUUGGCCAGGAUUAACAGAUGACCACUGGUCAUUUCAAGGUCAUUCAUUUGAAGGUCAAGGUCACUGUGACCUUCAAUAUAAAAAAUGUUAAAGUUCUUAUAACUUUGGUAUGCUUGGACCUAGAGUCUUGAAACUUGACAUGAAGGUUGGCCAGAACUAGUAAGUAACCACUGGACAUUUCAAGGUCAUUCAUUUGAAGGUCAAGGUCACUGUGACCUUGAAUGUAAAAAUGUUAAAGUUGUUAUAACUUUGGUAUGCUUGGACCUAGAGUCUUGAAACUUGACAUGAAGGUUGGCCAGAACUAGUAAGUAACCACUGGACAUUUCAAGGUCAUUCAUUUGAAGGUCAAGGUCACUGUGACCUUGAAUGUAAAAAUGUUAAAGUUCUUAUUUCAUGUUAUAACUUUGGUAUGCUUGUACCUAGAGUCUUCAAACUUGAAAUAAAGAUUGGCCAGUACUAGAAGAUGACCACUGGUCAUUUCAAUGUCAUUCAUUUGAAGGUCAAGGUCACUGUGACCUUAAAUGUUAAAAUGUUAAAAUUGUUAUAACUUUGGUAUGCUUGGACAUAGAGUCUUCAAACUUGACAUGAAGGUUUGCAAGCACACUUAGAUGACCACUGGUCAUUUCAAGGUCAUUCAUUCUAAGGUCAAGGUCACUGUGACCUUGAAUGUAAAAAUGUUAAAGUUCUUAUAACUUUGGUAGGUAAAAAUGUUAAAGUUCUUAUUCCAUGUUAUAACUUUGGUAUGCUUGUACCUAGAGUCUUCAAACUUGACAUAAAGGUUGGCCAGUACUAGAAGAUCACCACUGCUCAUUUCAAUGUCAUUCAUUUGAUUUCUGUGUAGGUAUGUGAAAGCAAAACAAUAAAUAGUAUUAUUUCAUCUAAGUUUAUUUUCUUACAUUUGAUAAUGAAAUUGAUGGAAACUUCAAACAAUAUCUUACUAAUUUGCUAAUAAAAAAAUUGAGAUCAAACUUU